GCGCUUGCUUCGGCAGCACAUAUACUAAAAUUGGAAUGAUACAGAAAAGAUUAGCAUGGCCCCUGCGCAAGGAUGUCACGCAAAUUCAUGAAGCAUCCCAUAUUUUU
rnacentral:snRNA from 1 species